UUGUAUUUUGUGGUUUUAAAAUAUAUUUACAUUAUUUAUUCUACAAAACUCAGGCUUGGAAUUCACCAGCAUGGAGGAAGCCAGCAGCUUGGAAGUAUGGCAGAUGAGCCAGAAAAGAAAGAUACACGAAAAUCAAUCUGAAUAUGCUGGAAACAGUGUCUCCAGAGUCUUCCAGAGUCUUGAGUUCAGCCACGACUGAAUAACUGCGGGGUGGAGAGAUCCCUGAAGACAAAAUGACAUGCUGUCUGGGAAAAAUUUGAGUGUAUACAGACUGGUUUCAAUAUCUGCUGGGGAGGCAGCUUGAGAACUGUGCAGCAAGAUUGUGGUCUCCACUCCAGGUUAAAAGCCCAAAAACCACAUUCACUUAAGAGAUCAGCUGCUAACUGAAGCACAUGUGUGAUUGCAGACACUAUAUUUAUUCCUAAUUAAAUAUAGGAUGUUUAUCUAUGUU